rnacentral:rRNA from 1 species
UACGUAGGUGGCAAGCGUUACUCGGAAUCACUGGGCAUAAAGGGCGUGUAGGCGGGUCUGUAAGUCCGGUGUAAAAGCCCCCGGCUCAACCGGGGAAGGCCAUCGGAGACUGCAGGUCUUGAGUGCGGGAGGGGAGAGUGGAACUCUUGGUGGAGCGGUGAAAUGCGUAGAUAUCAAGAGGAACGCCGGUGGCGAAAGCGGCUCUCUGGCCCGCAACUGACGCUGAGGCGCGAAAGCUAGGGGAG